GCAAAGCACUUCUCCACGUCUAACCGUCGUUGGUGCGCCCUCUCUGUAACCCAGCGAAGCACUUCUCCACUUCUGCCAUUCAUUUAUUGUUGUUCUAGUAAUAUGGACCAUGUGGAAGCAAGUGGCAGUACGUGUGGUGCCUACAGGCUUUUUGUUGGAUUUCACUAGUUAGCUAACUAGCUUGUGCCAAGGUGUGUGAGUUUUCUGGCAGCUGGAGGGUCGUGAAAGCAAGGAGGUUAUGGGAUUAUGUGACAAUGGACGGGCUUACAUGUUACAUGCUUACGGAAGGCUAGGAAAAUAACAUCAUAUUAAAGUCAUUAUGACUUGUUUCCUCACUAUUAAUUCCUUGGAGCUCCCCUACUGCAUUAUGACUGUUAUUUCAACCACAAUUUACCUCAUGAGGCUGAAUGGAUAAAUCAGUACAAAGGAAGAGUGUUCAGUUUAAACGACAAGCCUGUGGUGCAUAAAAUUUGGCUGCCGAAUGAGGAAUGCCCCAGAUUGGCAAUGUCUAGAGCCUUUGGGGACUACUUUAUUAAGGAUUUUGGACUUAUAUCCGUCCCUGAAGUGAGGUGUUGUCACAUAUAACCAGCAGAGACCAAUUUGUUGUGUUGCGAA